ACUCAUAAACGUAAUAUCAUUAUACCAUUGCAGGUUCCGCAAGCUCUGCCAUCGUAUAAUCAAUGCAACGACUUUCACCAACAUCAUCCUCCUCUUCAUCCUCCUGUCGUCUGUGUCUCUAGCUGCUGAAGAUCCCAUCGACCCCAUGUCCUUUAGAAACCAGGUGUUGGCCUAUGCUGAUAUAGUCUUCACUUCGGUGUUCACAGCGGAAAUUGUGCUCAAGAUGACAACAUAUGGUGCCAUUCUUCACAAAGGGUCUUUCUGUCGGAACUCUUUCAACAUCUUGGAUCUUCUGGUGGUCAGUGUAUCUCUCCUCUCAAUGGG